GCCCGGCUAGCUCAGUCGGUAGAGCAUGAGACUUUUAAUCUCAGGGUCGUGGGAUUCGAGCCCCACGUUGGGCG
rnacentral:tRNA from 1 species